GGCGCGCUGCACAGAGGAGACGGAACCUCACGCCGUGAUGCGUAGCGGGACUCUGCGGGCUGAGCAACACUCGGACGGGAUGAGACCUCCCGCUCGCAUUUAAAUCACUCAUCCUGCUUUGCUUUGUUUUUUUGCGCGUGCGUGCGUGCGUGUGUGCGCGCGCGUGUGUGUGUGUGUGGGGGUUUGCGCGCAGCGGUACCGCCGGAGGACAACGUCGCCCUGCGAGUCCGCUUCACAGCUCGGAGCCGUGUGGACGUUGUGCAAGUUUUUUUUUUUUUUUUUUUUGCGUUCUUGUUGUUGCUGCUUUGCUUCAUUAUUGACUUGAAUCCGACUUUGAGGCGCGCACCCGGAGCCCGGAGCCCCGCACGAGAUGGAGAGCGAGAAGUACUUGCCGGAGCUCAUGGCAGAGAAGGACACGCUGGAUCCGUCCUUCCAGCACUCCCUGCGGCUACUGGAUCAAGAGAUCGAGAAAAUUCAGAAAGACGAGGACAAGGAGGAGGAGAAGUUCAUCGACGUCGUCAUCAACAAGAACAUGAAACUGGGCCAGAAAAUUUUAAUACCGGUCAAGCAGUUUCCUAAAUUUAACUUUGUCGGAAAGCUCCUGGGGCCACGCGGGAACUCGUUAAAGAGGCUACAGGAGGACACGCUCACAAAGAUGUCCAUUCUGGGAAAAGGAUCCAUGAGGGACAAAGAGAAGGAGGAAGAGCUGCGGCAGAGCGGCGAGGCCAAAUAUCACCACCUGAACGAAGACCUGCACGUCCUCAUCGAGGUGUUCGCCCCGCCGGCCGAGGCCUACGCCCGCAUGGGUCACGCCCUGGAGGAGAUCAAGAAGUUUCUGAUACCCGACUACAACGAUGAGAUCAGACAGGCCCAGCUGCAGGAGCUCACGUACCUCAACGGCGGCUCGGAGGACGCCAAGGUGCCGUCGGCGAGGGGCAAGUCGGCCGCCCGCGCCAGAGGGACACCUGUCCCAGGGCCUCCGAGGACUCGAGGAGGAGUUCCUCCCCCGCAUGCAGCGGUGCCCCGGGGGGCCGCGCCCAGGGGGGCCCCGCCCGUCCGGGCUCCUUCUUCCAGAGGGAGGGGGGUUCAGAGAGCCAGGGGCGCCCCCCCGCCGCCCGCCGGGUACCGGCCGGCUCCUCCCAUCGUGCAGGACGCGUACGGCGAAUAUGAAUAUGACGACGAAUACGGAACAACGUACGAGGACCAGGGAUAUGAGUCGUACGACAACAACUACACCAAUCAAGGACAAAACUCGGAGGACUACUACGAGUACGGACACAGCGAGGAGUCGUAUGAUUCGUACGGACUGGAGGAGUGGGCGAACAGCCGCGCCAAGGCGCCGCCCGCCCGGACCACCAAGGGAGUGUACAGAGAUCAGCCGUACACCAGAUAUUGAACUGUUUAUACAACCUGCACCCUGAGUCCUCAUGGCCGGUUCAACCCAAGCUGAUCGCCCAGCUACACCAGUCCAUCCGCCCGACCAUCUCACCGGGCCUGAAGAUUUCACCGGAACCGAACAUCCCAGCCGGCGCCGUGUCAAGCGUCAUCACCGAGGACGGACUUUGGGGGGGGGGGAGGCAAAUGGAGUCCCUCGUCCUCCGGGACCAUCCGUCUGACAGCGUCUCACACAGGUCCCGAACCUGCACUCUGUCCCUCUUCAUUUAGAGGACGUGUCCACCAUGUGUCCACGUCGCCACGCUCAUCAACCUACACCCAGCCGACGGAUACGCCAUAAGUGCCUGAUUUG